AUGACCAAGUCGAUGAUGCCACUGCUGGAAGGAACCAGUGACGGAGGCAACCGAAGCGGAAGAACUGGCGAUGGUGGUGGCAGCAGAAGGAACAUGAAGCCAGUCCAACUCCCAAAGACCCUGAGAAUCACGGCGGCGAGGGCCAGCCCCAACCAGAGUGUGCGUGUGACGGUCCUGGACAGAACAAGAGUCAACGUCGAGGAUGACGCGACAACCAGAAUCCGUAAGUUGACCAGCAGAAAACAAAUUCAUGGUAAGUCAAGAAACAUGAGCAACAUCAAGAACAGAAUAAGGAGUAGUAAGAUUGCCUCUACUAGCAACAGAAAGUGGAGUACCAUCAGCAGUGAAGACAUGAAUAGGAGAAUCCAGUGA
rnacentral:rRNA from 1 species